AGUCGAGCGAACAGACGAGGAGCUUGCUCCUCUGACGUUAGCGGCGGACGGGUGAGUAACACGUGGAUAACCUACCUAUAAGACUGGGAUAACUUCGGGAAACCGGAGCUAAUACCGGAUAAUAUAUUGAACCGCAUGGUUCAAUAGUGAAAGACGGUUUUGCUGUCACUUAUAGAUGGAUCCGCGCCGCAUUAGCUAGUUGGUAAGGUAACGGCUUACCAAGGCAACGAUGCGUAGCCGACCUGAGAGGGUGAUCGGCCACACUGGAACUGAGACACGGUCCAGACUCCUACGGGAGGCAGCAGUAGGGAAUCUUCCGCAAUGGGCGAAAGCCUGACGGAGCAACGCCGCGUGAGUGAUGAAGGUCUUCGGAUCGUAAAACUCUGUUAUUAGGGAAGAACAAAUGUGUAAGUAACUAUGCACGUCUUGACGGUACCUAAUCAGAAAGCCACGGCUAACUACGUGCCAGCAGCCGCGGUAAUACGUAGGUGGCAAGCGUUAUCCGGAAUUAUUGGGCGUAAAGCGCGCGUAGGCGGUUUUUUAAGUCUGAUGUGAAAGCCCACGGCUCAACCGUGGAGGGUCAUUGGAAACUGGAAAACUUGAGUGCAGAAGAGGAAAGUGGAAUUCCAUGUGUAGCGGUGAAAUGCGCAGAGAUAUGGAGGAACACCAGUGGCGAAGGCGACUUUCUGGUCUGUAACUGACGCUGAUGUGCGAAAGCGUGGGGAUCAAACAGGAUUAGAUACCCUGGUAGUCCACGCCGUAAACGAUGAGUGCUAAGUGUUAGGGGGUUUCCGCCCCUUAGUGCUGCAGCUAACGCAUUAAGCACUCCGCCUGGGGAGUACGACCGCAAGGUUGAAACUCAAAGGAAUUGACGGGGACCCGCACAAGCGGUGGAGCAUGUGGUUUAAUUCGAAGCAACGCGAAGAACCUUACCAAAUCUUGACAUCUUCUGACCCCUCUAGAGAUAGAGUUUUCCCCUUCGGGGGACAGAGUGACAGGUGGUGCAUGGUUGUCGUCAGUCGUGUCGUGAGAUGUUGGGUUAAGUCCCGCAACGAGCGCAACCCUUAAGCUUAGUUGCCAUCAUUAAGUUGGGCACUCUAAGUUGACUGCCGGUGACAAACCGGAGGAAGGUGGGGAUGACGUCAAAUCAUCAUGCCCCUUAUGAUUUGGGCUACACACGUGCUACAAUGGACAAUACAAAGGGCAGCGAAACCGCGAGGUCAAGCAAAUCCCAUAAAGUUGUUCUCAGUUCGGAUUGUAGUCUGCAACUCGACUAUAUGAAGCUGGAAUCG
rnacentral:rRNA from 1 species